rnacentral:rRNA from 2 species
GCCGACCUCAGAGCAGGUGAGACCACCCGCUGAAUUUAAGCA